rnacentral:rRNA from 1 species
AUUGAACGCUGGCGGCGGGCCUAACACAUGCAAGUCGAGCGAGCGGAGGACGGGUGAGUAACGUAUGAGGAUCUGCCCGAUAGACGGGGAUAACUAGUGGAAAAGUUGGCUAAUAACGCAAACUAUCGGUUGAACCCAUAUGGGAUUAGCUAGUAGGUGGGGUAAAGGCUCACCUAGGCUACGAUCGCUAGCUGGUCUGAGAGGCUGAUCAGCCACACUGGAACUGAGACACGGCCCGGAUUCCUACGGGAGGCAGCAGUGGGGAAUAUUGGACAAUGGCCGCAAGCCUGAUGCAGCAAUGCCGCGUGUAUGAAGAAGGCCUUAGGGUUGUAAAGUACUUUCAGCGGGGAGGCGGUACCCGAAGAAGAAGCAACGGCUAACUCCGUGCCAGCAGCCGCGGUAAUAC